AGGGCACUCUAAUGGGACUGCCGGUGACAAACCGGAGGAAGGUGGGGAUGACGUCAAGUCCUCAUGGCCCUUAUAGGUGGGGCUACACACGUCAUACAAUGGCUGGUACAGAGGGUUGCCAACCCGCGAGGGGGAGCCAAUCCCACAAAGCCAGUNGUAGUCCGGAUCGCAGUCUGCAACUCGACUGCGNGAAGUCGGAAUCGCUAGUA
rnacentral:rRNA from 1 species